ensembl:lncRNA
UCUGUCCUCGUCGAUGACCUCCAGCCCUACGCCUGUUAUCAUCAGAGAGUCAACCCCCUCUACGUCUCAUCUGCAGAUCUGUUGAAAUGAAACACACACACACACACACACACACACACACACACACACACACACACACACACACACACACACACACACACACACACACACAAACACACAUAUUGAAAUGACUCACUCAGUGUGGGUUGAAUAUGAAACCUAAGGAACACCACAUUCAUUUUCUAUUCAAAUGACUGUCGUUGUCACUUGCGGCAAGUGUUAUUUAAUGAAAAGUAAGUGGAACUAACAAAAAUGAUUUCUGAUAUGAAUAUUGACAUUCUGUAGGAAAAACCUAUCAAAAUGAAAAUGUUAAAUGCGUCAAUUUGUAUUAAUCACGUUAAAACAAGAUUGCGUUAACGCGUAAUUAACGCGGUGACUUGCCCAGCCCUAUUAUAUUUAUAUAGACAUAAACACCUAUAUAUAUUAAUAAAGAUAUAUAUAAUAUACACUAUAUAUAUAUAUAUAUAUAUGUGUGUGUGUGUGUGUGUGUGUGUGUGUGUGUGUGUGUGUGUGUAUAUAUAUAUAUGUGUAUAUACAUAUGUUUAUAUAUAGAUGUGUGUUUGUGUAUAUAUCUAUUAUAUAUGUGUAUAUAUAUAUAUAUACAAACACACACACAGACACACACAUAUACACACACACAAACACACGUGCACACACAACCCAAGCGCACAAACAGCUUAUCUCUCCCUCUGUGUUUCCGGGCCUCUGUAACGUGCACUGUAGAGUCAGUCAGCCCACUUGGAUAGGUUAGGCUGGGGUACGUGUGCAGCAGACUGCAGACAACAGGACGUGUAAUAGUUCUACAAACUACUGAAACUACUUGAAGGCUGUGCAACAAUGUCCGAAAGACUACUGGAGGACCACAACACUGGAUAAAAAUGAUAAAGAAAAUGAUAAAAUGUUAUUUUGUAGGACUUUCAAAUGGUAAUGGACUUAUCAUAAUGCAUAUCAAAUUAUGCAUUGGAAUCGCCCCUUAACCCUUAAUCCUUACAAUCCUUACAUCCAAUGAUUUGUUGAUGGUUGCAACAAAAGACAUUAAUGUGCAAUUAUUUUGUUUUCCUAAUAAAAUCUGUAAUUUAUGUAUAGAAUAUGUGUUUAAUAUAGCCUUAGGUGUUGCAGAUACAUGCAGGUAUCCAACUGUGUGCAAUCAAACAAAGUCGGCCUAUUCCAUCAAAAAAACGGAAUCAAACGUUCAGUGAAUUUAAAAAGUGCCUUGUGUAACAGACGAUUUAACAUUUCACAAAACGUUGGAGUAUAAUUGUGUACAAAAUCACAAGCAAUAGCUCUAUCUCCUGGUAGAGUCUGGAACAACACAUAGCCUAGCAACCUUUUGAAUACAUUUAAUUAGCCUUCCUUUAUUUACUCAAAAAAUACAGGUUAAGAGUAAUAUCCUUAUUUUAUUUUGCUACAGGACGACAACAACUAAAUGAUCUGUCAGUUACAUUUGUUUUCAGUUCGCAUGCUCUUGUCAUUGUUUUUAGAAAAGCUUUGAGGGUUCCUUUGCAUUAUAACUCUGGCCAUUAGAGGGUUAGUCAAAAUACUUUAUAUAAUACAGGCCUAUUUAUUUCACCUUUUCUUUUUCACGAAAAAAACCUAAAUAAUAAACAGGACAUGUAUUUAUAUUUCAGUUUUAUUAUUUAGUAUGGUAUACAGUGUGACUGUGUAUGUGAGUAUGAGUAUGGCAUACAGUGUGAGUAUGAGUAUGGUAUACAUUGUGAGUAUGAGUAUGGUAUACAGUGUGAGUAUGGUAAACAGUGUGAGUAUGAUAUGGUAUACAGUGUGAGUAUGACUAUGGUAUACAGUGUGAGUAUGAGUAUGGUAUACAGUGUGAGUAUGGUAUACAGUGUGAGUAUGAUAUGGUAUACAGUGUGAGUAUGGUAUACAGUGUGAGUAUGGUAUGCAGUGUGAGUAUGAGUAUGGUAUGGUAUACAGUGUGAGUAUGGUAUACAGUGUGAGUAUGGUAUACAGUGUGAGCAUGAGGAUGGUAUACAGUGUGAGUAUGGUAUACAGUGUGAGUAUGAGUAUGGUAUACAGUGUGAGUAUGGUAAACAGUGUUGAUAUGGUAUACAGUGUGAGUGUGAGUAUGGUAUACAGUGUGAGUAUGGUAUGGUGUGAGUAUGGUAUGGUAUGCAGUGUGAGUAUGGUAUACAGUGUGAGUAUGGUAUACAGUGUGAGUAUGAGUAUGGUAUACAGUGUGAGUAUGAGGAUGGUAUACAGUGUGAGUAUGAGGAUGGUAUACAGUGUGAGUAUGAGGAUGGUAUACAGUGUGAGUAUGAGGAUGGUAUAUACACUACGACUGUAUGAGGCCGUGUUCAGGACUGUUGGUAUCCAUGAGCCCGCUAACAGAGAGGUCUUCAUUUCUACGGUGGCGGUGACGUUUCCUCCGCAGCGAUGAACGUAGAACCACAGAAUGACGUCCCGAGCCUCCGUCAGGGCUCACCGCGACGGCAGCAGUGAGCAUCCGGUCCGCUCCAGCUCGGUACUGCCGUUGGUCGACCUCGUGGUCCUACUGCAUGAGGACAUAAUCAUCGGCCCCUUCCUCAGCCUCCGAGGUGGGCGGGGCUGGAGGUCUGUGCGGGAUAAUGACGGAGUAGACACACUCUGAGGGGCGGGGGGAGGAGUCAG